rnacentral:rRNA from 1 species
UAGCGAAGGGGGCUAGCGUUGCUCGGAAUUACUGGGCGUAAAGGGAGCGUAGGCGGAUAGUUUAGUCAGAGGUGAAAGCCCAGGGCUCAACCCUGGAAUUGCCUUUGAUACUGGCUAUCUUGAGUGUGGGAGAGGUUAGCGGAACUCCGAGUGUAGAGGUGAAAUUCGUAGAUAUUCGGAAGAACACCAGUGGCGAAGGCGGCUAACUGGCCCAUUACUGACGCUGAGGCUCGAAAGCGUGGGGAGCAAACAGG